rnacentral:rRNA from 1 species
GGAGAAGUCGUAACAAGGUUUCCGUAGGUGAACCUGCGGAAGGAUCAUU